CGGUACAGAGAUGUACCUUCCCUUCGGGGCAGAGGAGACAGGUGGUGCAUGGUUGUCGUCAGCUCGUGUCGUGAGAUGUUGGGUUAAGUCCCGCAACGAGCGCAACCCUUGAACUUAGUUGCCAGCAUUCAGUUGGGCACUCUAAGUUGACUGCCGGUGACAAACCGGAGGAAGGUGGGGAUGACGUCAAAUCAUCAUGCCCCUUAUGACCUGGGCUACACACGUACUACAAUGGCCGGUACAACGGGAAGCGAAGUCGCGAGAUGGAGCGAAUCCUUAGAAGCCGGUCUCAGUUCGGAUUGCAGGCUGCAACUCGCCUGCAUGAAGUCGGAAUUGCUAGUAAUCGCGGAUCAGCAUGCCGCGGUGAAUACGUUCCCGGGUCUUGUACACACCGCCCGUCACACCACGAGAGUUUACAACACCCGAAGUCGGUGGGGUAACCGCAAGGAGCCAGCCGCCGAAGGUGGGGUAGAUGAUUGGGGUGAAGUCGUAACAAGGUAGCCGUAUCGGAAGGUGCGGCUGGAUCACCUCCUUUCUAUGGAG
rnacentral:rRNA from 1 species